UACGUAGGGGGCAAGCGUUGUCCGGAUUCAUUGGGCGUAAAGAGCUCGUAGGCGGUUCGGUAAGUCGGGUGUGAAAUCUCCGUGCUCAACACGGAGCGGCCACCUGAUACUGCCGUGACUCGAGUCCGGUAGGGGAGUGUGGAAUUCCCGGUGUAGCGGUGAAAUGCGCAGAUAUCGGGAGGAACACCUGUGGCGAAAGCGGCUCACUGGACCAUUACUGACGCUGAUGCACGAAAGCUAGGGGAGCAAACAGG
rnacentral:rRNA from 1 species